AAGAAACAAGGAAGUAAAGGGAUCUCAUAAAACCUAAGAACAGGAGUCCUGUCUGAGGUCAGAAAGUUCUGGAAGCAGAAAGUAGAGACCCAUGCAGAACCUCAAGCAUUCCUCUUUUUCUUUCCCUCAUCUCUGUUUCUUUCUGGGUGCCUUUUGUCCUUCUCUCAAAGCAGACUGACCGACCCUUCCACAGUCACUUUUGCAGGACCUGGCUGCUGACAGAUGGGCAAGAUGGGCCCAGCUGCGUUUCAAGGGAUCACGAAUCCUGACUCAGUAGAGCAAGAUCCAACAAAGUCUUUCCUGCAUCCGGCAGCCCCCAUGGAGCACAUAACCUUUAUUGGACUAAAAAUAAUGAAGCCCCAUGUAUUUGCUGGUCUGAUCAAAGCAGUAAGCAAGCACAUCUCUCUGUCCCAACCUCUGCAAAAGACAGGAGGGUGUAUCUUCCUUUGGCCCCAUCUCUAAAUCUCCUCUAACCCUGAAGUCCCAACCUGUCUCCAGGCGGAGGGGAGAAGGGGCUCCUGUUAUCUGGCUUUGCUGAUAGGCUGAGCUAAUGGCACGAAGCUCUCUUGGCUGCAGAGUGGAAGAAACAGAACACCAAUUUAAAUGAUGAAAAAAAAAGUCAAGUGAAUCUAUCAUCAUUAAUCUUGCUGUCAGUUUUAAUUUUGGGGACAUUACCUCACUCAACACCAGUUGAAAAGAGCUGCCAAAACCGAUGAUGUCAUCAUCACUAGCCACGUCUGACCCCUGCCUGCUGAUUCUCAGAGCUCGGGGCAAGUUAAUAAAUCCCCUGGCGCUGGGACACACAGUGGAGUUUUAUUACAAUGAAGGCUCAGAGUGGAAUAGCAGGAGAGCAGUUCUAAAGACAGCUAGGGAGUCCACAUGAAUAUCUUUCCCAGGCCACCCUCUCUAGACCCUGGGGGCUGCUGCACACACCUCAGUGACCACGCUGGGGCAUCCAGGCUCCUGUACCAUGCAAAGGACUGAGGCUGUGUGGGGCUUGGCAUUGAGCAGAAACCCGACUCUCUUAAAAAGGGACUGGAGAAAACCUCGAGACCCGCAGCCGCUCACUCAAAGCUUGGACCUCGCUGCUCUUUGAAUAUUUAUGAAUGAUUUCUCCCAGCCUCUUUCUGACUGCUUAGAAUAUUGGUUUUUGCCCAUCUUCUUACUCAUGGCCCAUCUGAGGUCCCCUGGAUUGACCUUCCUGUGAAGUCAUUCUGCUGAACAGAUUCCCCCAUGCCAGGAGUACAAAGAGCUACAAACAUGGGCUUUGCGGGAGCCUUGCCACUGCAUUGAAGGUGCUCGGGGAAGGAGGUUGAGAAGAACUCUUCCUUCCAGCUCAGCUUUCUCUUAAGUGGCACAAAAAAUUUCAAGGAUACCACUCUUGCUGAAUGUUGUAGCAACACUUUGGGGCGAUUAUCUUCUGUCUUAAUCAUCGUUUAUAUGGUUGCGCAUGUGCAACCCAUGCACACACACACACAUACACACACACAUAGACACGCACAUGCACACACAGGCACAAUUUAAAAAUUUCAAGCAAAAUGGACAUUGGCAAGAACCAGAAUGCAGGCCUGAAUCCCCACGAGCACCCUCCCUCUGGCUUUCUCCAAGUGACGACUCCUGAACUCCUCUUUCCCCCCACCCAGCAGCUCCCCUAAAUGGCCCUCAUCAAUCACGCCAAACGGUGCAGUUGGCUUUGCACAGAGCACGAAUGAGGACCAGUGGAGACCCCCAAGCUCAUUUUUCAUGCCCAUCUCAAACAGGAACUGAUCCUAGGUCUCCAGGGGUGAGGGUGCCCUACACAAAUUCACUGUCUCUUUUGCCCUCCCAGAUGGAGGCCCUUUGAAAUUCUUCAUUAUUUUUUUUAAUGGUGCAGUAUAAAGUAUAUCCACGCAUAAGAUACAUGGCCUGAUGUAAGACUCUGUGACUGCACCCUGUUAACAGUUCCUGCUGUUUAUGGAGGAUUGUCUUGACAUACUUGUUAAACCUCAAUAAAUAUGUUUUUAAUAACCAUAUGGUA